UUAAUACUUUUGAAUAGUUGGAGCAACAUAGGUUCAAAGAGCAACAGAAACAGAGACUAGGAGUACAUCAAGUUUCUAAAUUCAUAAAAUCUUGAUUUAUGUACAAUUUAUAAGCGUAAUUACCUGAUCAUACUACCAUAAGCUACUUGAUCCUACCAUGUAUUGGUCGAUCACACUUGACAUAUAUCUAUCUACCAUUAGACUUGUUACAUACUUGAUCCAUCGCAACAAUCAACAAGCCGAACAAUGCUAUAACUACAAGUCUUUCUGUUUUAUACAUUCAUGUACUAGUCUCUUCUCAUACAAUACUUAAAUGAACUAAACUUAUACUGCACAAGACAUUAACUAGACUUUUUAACACUAAGGAAAGUGAUUAUGACUAAUCAAACAAAAAAAUAUCUGCUGAAAUACUAAUCAAAUUCUUCUAAUGUUCUGUGCUAAAAUCUUGAAUUUACAGAACAAAACAGAUUCCACCAGUUUCUUUAUGUCGAAAAAUCCAAACAGCAACAUAACAAUCAAAGAAUAAUAGUCAUCAACUAAGAUGGGACAUUUAUUAUAGUAAAGUGACCAACUAAAAUGAGACAAAGAGAGUAUAUUUGGUUUAAAUUAGUUGUUCAUUUUCGCAAAUCGAGAGUGUUAUAUUACUUCUUUCCCAUAUUACACUUAGUAUUAAAAAAACUUAAGAAAAUAAUAAUAGUUAAAUUAGAGUUUCAAGACAUUAUUAAUAAGGUUAAUUUUUCAGAACACUUCCAAUUAAUGUUUUCUUAAUAAACGUGUGUCAAGUAAAAAGAGGUCAAAUAAAAUGGAACGAAGAGAGUAAGUAAUUCUACAUCAACAUUGCUCACACAUCAAAUGUGGUAAGCGAGACUGAGAUCGUUCAUGAAUGUAAAGAGAGGUGUGUGGAUGUACCAAUUAGCAGGCACAAGUGGUCAUAGUAGGAGUUAAGUGAUUUGUUAGGACACAACCAUGCAUAGAAAGGUAUAAAAAUCAAGAAAUAUAAUAGAAGGUUAACAGAUAGCCAAGUGUGGUCGCCGAUUAAGUCGGAGAGGCAGGGAGCUUGCCGCGUAUCUUGUUUCCUUUAUUAAUAGUAGGAUUUAGUAAUCGCGUAGUUUCUUAUUAGGUAAGGACGAGAUUGGCGUAUAUCUCAUUCUUUCAAAAUCCAUUUGUACGAUUACACUGAAUACUUAACGUCAGUCUAUCUUUUAGUAUGAUUCCACAAGGUUUGAAGAGGGUAAAGUGUUAAGCAGACGUUACCAUUACCUCGAAGAGGUUGUUUUCGAAAGACCCUCAGCCCAAGUGUAGCAAAUCCAAAUACACGUUGAAAAAUGAUAAUCAUGUACACGAAAUAAAACUUAAAAAACUUUUUUAAUCUUAUUCAUGAGAUCAACUACCUACUAUUUUCAGAACAAAGAGCACAAAGCAUUGGCUUUCCACAAGUAUGAACAUGAAAAGCUAAGUUGCUCAGAUUCCCCAACAUCGGUUGAUACUUUUGAAUAGUCUGAGCAACAUAGGUUCUGAGCAACAUAGGUUCAAAGCAAACAGAAGAACCACGAACUAGGUGUACAUCAUGUCAACCACGAACUAGGUGUACAUCAUGUCAAGUUCUAAAUUCAGAAAACCUUGAUUUGUCAGCCGUGAAUAUGCACAAUUUAUAAGUGAUUCAAAGACGAGCGUUGCUGAAAGCGGAAUCAGCACAAACAUCGGAUGUUGAAUCUCCGAGCCUCGAAGUCCUCA
rnacentral:lncRNA from 1 species